GGAGAUCAUCCAGCUCGUCAUGCUAGAGCACUUUUGGAGCGACAAGGCGACGACGCAUUCGUAUAUCAUCCAUAUCAACUUUUGAUGCCAUUUACUGCGCCUACCAUGGUGACCACGGGUAACUGGAAAUAAGGGUUCGAUUACGGAGAGGGAGCCUGAGAAACGGCUACCACAUGCAAGGAAGGCAGCGGGUGCGCAAAUGACCCACUCCCGACGAAGGAAGGUAGUGAC